rnacentral:rRNA from 1 species
GUCCACGCUGUAAACGAUGACGACUAGGUGUGGGGGGUUAGUCCUUUCCGUGCCGCAGCUAACGCAUUAAGUCGUCCGCCUGGGGAGUACGGCCGCAAGGUUGAAACUCAAAGGAAUUGACGGGGGCCCGCACAAGCGGUGGAGCAUGUGGUUCAAUUCGAUGCAGAGCGAAGAACCUUACCUGGGCUUGACAUGCUGGAAGUAGAAACCCGAAAGGGGGACGACCUGUUAAGUCAGGAGCCAGCACAGGUGGUGCAUGGCUGUCGU